rnacentral:lncRNA from 10 species
CCAGGCAGGGCCUCGAGGAAGUAGGUGAGCUUCUCCAUCCCUGUCUGUCUAGAUGCAGAGAACCCAAAGCCCUGCAGGAUGGCAAAGCUGCAACAUGGAAGUCACCCGGAUCACCACGUAAAGGAAAUCUCUCCAACCAGGAACAAACACCUGCCUUGCAAUAUUAGGUGGCCACCAGACUUUCUCUGCUUGUAUCCUCCCAGGACCACAGAACUCAUCGCAUCCCAAGGCAGCCUAUUCCAUCAUGGAUGAGCUCAAAGUGUUUGAAAGUUCUGCUUUAUCAAGAGUGGCGUGCUGUGUGGAUAAUGAAUAUUGGGGAAGGCAUCUCUCUCCAGCCCCUCUCAAGCUUUCUGUAGUCACUGGUCCACUCUGUAUUGCUAUGAAGAAGCUCAAGACCAGCCUGUAUCACUCGGGGUCCUGGCAGGAACCAGGUGCCACACUCAAACUGAGUAAUUGAAGAGGGUUUAAUAUGGGAGUUAUUUACAUAGGUGUGGGCUGGUGUAGCUGCCCAUAUGCCCUCAAAAUCACCUCUACAUGGCAAUAGCUACUUACUGCUAACAGAGUCUCUCUCUCAUUGCUGCAAAUAUUUUCUAGCCAUGCAAGAAACUCAGCCGGUCAUGUUGAACAAACUAAGAGUGCCAGGAAGUUAAUGUCCUGGAAGCAUUGCCAGAGGGGAGGGGGCAGUUAGAUUCCCCAGCUUCCUCGCUCCUCUGCUGGGUUAAGCCUGCAACAUAUUCAUCAUCUCCCAGAGUGCUGCCCAGGGAUAGAGCUCCAGGUGCUCAGUGUGGUGACCUGCUCAUGUCAGCUUCUUCCCCUUUCCUGUCUUGUUUCGCACCCACAUCCUUCCCAUGUUUCCUCUUCCCAAAUAAACUACUUGCAUUGAAAUCUUUGUCUCAGGCUCUGCUUCUGGGGAAACCUGAAC